CAAAGCUCGCGAAACUUUAAAAAGCAACCACAAUGGCGGUCAGGAGAGCACAACAUAAUGUAAACUCUGAGUCUACACUCUGUUGACUGACGAGGCAAAACUGUUGCUCCCGUCUUCAGUAAUCCAGAUCCUUAUUAAGGAUUUACAGGAUGCAUGUGACGUCAGCCAGUCCCAUCUAUUUCAUAAGCCCAAAGGAGACGUUGGUGAAGUUGGUGUAAUAAAUAACAUGAUGGAUCUCCUGAAAUCAGAGGAUGUUUCCCGUGCGUGCAACACUGGUCCAUUAAAAAUCGAAAAAGAAGAAGAAAUUCAGGUCCAAUGAUACAGACAAACCAGCGAUGAAAGAUCAGCAUAGGGAAAUGGUUGCUGUGUGAAGGAACGUUCUUUGUGCUUGGUCUUGCUGUAAUCUUCUCCCCUGACUACAGUUUCAUCCUUCUGUAUGAACAUGAUGCAGCCUCCACACUGGAAUUCACUCAGAGGAAUAAGCGUCAACGCCUUCAAAGGAAAACUGGUUUCUAUUCAGAAGCGAUUGGACAGAAUCUGUGGUUAAGGACAAAACAAAGUUGUUGGUCUCAACCUAUGGUUAGGGAAGAAUGAUUUUCAUGUUAUUCCUCAAGUAUUCUUCAACAGGACACGUAUGGGACUUCAGUUCAGAUGGUUUAGCCACAAUCGUCAUGACUAAUGACAGUUAUCAGGAAAGUGCUGUUUCUGAACGUGGCCCUCUGUAGGGGAUGUAGGAGUUGUGGCUCUGAGGCUGUGCUUUGCCAUGCGCACAGGGGGUUAAACUCAAGUGACAAUCCAUUGGUUUGUGAACUGCCAUUUUGAAAUUUGAUUUUCGCAUUCUGACCAGCGCCAUCUUGGUUGUUUUGGAACCAGAUGCUCGCCCACCUACACCUGCAACCAUUCACCGUUUGGAUGAUACUACAAAGGUAUGAAAAAAAAGGCUUUUUUUCCCCUUAAGACUGAAG